GACGAACGCUGGCGGCGUGCCUAAUACAUGCAAGUCGAGCGGAAGUUGGAGAGCUUGCUCUUCAACUUUAGCGGCGGACGGGUGAGUAACACGUGGGCAACCUGCCCUGCAGAUCGGGAUAACUCCGGGAAACCGGUGCUAAUACCGAAUAGUUUUCGCCACCUCCUGGUGGCGUACGGAAAGACGGUUUCGGCUGUCACUGCAGGAUGGGCCCGCGGCGCAUUAGCUAGUUGGUGGGGUAACGGCCCACCAAGGCGACGAUGCGUAGCCGACCUGAGAGGGUGAUCGGCCACACUGGGACUGAGACACGGCCCAGACUCCUACUGGAGGCAGCAGUAGGGAAUCUUCCGCAAUGGACGAAAGUCUGACGGAGCAACGCCGCGUAAGUGACGAAGGUUUUCGGAUCGUAAAACUCUGUUGUGAGGGAAGAACAAGUACCAAUUAACUGCUGGUACCUUGACGGUACCUCACCAGAAAGCCACGGCUAACUACGUGCCAGCAGCCGCGGUAACAC
rnacentral:rRNA from 1 species